UACAGAGGUCCCAAGCGUUGUUCGGAUUCAUUGGGCGUAAAGGGCGCGUAGGCGGCCUGGUAAGUAGGGGGUGAAAUCCUGCGGCUUAACCGCAGGGCUGCCUUCUAAACUGUCAGGCUCGAGCACGGUAGAGGCAGAUGGAAUUCCCGGUGUAGCGGUGGAAUGCGUAGAGAUCGGGAAGAACAUCAGUGGCGAAGGCGGUCUGCUGGGCCGUUGCUGACGCUGAGGCGCGACAGCGUGGGGAGCAAACAGG
rnacentral:rRNA from 1 species